AUGCUGACGAUGGCACUGGCGGUGGAGAUGCUGGCGAUGGAACUGGCGAUGGAGAUGCUGGCGAUGGAACUGGCGGUGGAGAUGCUGGCGAUGGCACUGGCGGUGGAGAUGCUGGCGAUGGCGGUGGAGAUGCUGGCGAUGGCGGUGGAGAUGCUGGCGAUGGCGGUGGAGAUGCUGGCGAUGGCAGUGGCGGUGGAGAUGCUGGCGAUGGCAGUGGCGGUGGAGAUGCUGGCGAUGGCAGUGGCGGUGGAGAUGCUGGCGAUGGCGGUGGAGAUGCUGGCGAUGGCACUGGCGGUGGAGAUGCUGAUCUGUCAGAGGCAAGUACCAGCAGUAGGCCUACUCAACCCCCCACAAACCAGCCUGGAGCCUGCCACACAAAGCCAGGGCACCUCGAGCUGUGAACCAGUGUGCGUGUCUUCCACCCUCCAAACUCUCCCAAGAACACGACCCUGGGUUCUGACAGCUGAGGUUCUGGGGAAACAAACUGAAAUAUGUCAGGCGAUCACUGAAAUCAAUUACUCAGUUCUAGAAAUAAACGAUACAUUAAAACAGAUGAAUGGAAACCUGAAACGAACGUUGCAUAAAUAAUAAUACAAAAAAAAUGUAAAAAAUUAAAGCAGGUGUGUUGUGUUUUUAUUACAAUGCAUAGGCUACUUAGAAGCGAUAAAUGUGUUCUUGACGUCUUUGUAAUGCCCUCAUAGUUGGUUGUGCUGGCCAUGUAGGGUUGCCACCUUCAGCAAGGCAAAAUAAGGGACACCCAUUCAUGACCUAACCCCCCCCCCCAAAAAAAAAACUAACAAACAAACAAACAAGGACAAAUUAUUAAAUAAACUCAUAGCUCAACAAUAAACCAUGAGAAAACAUGCUCAAGUAUGUAAACUUGCAACAGAACACAUUAAUAUUGUUGUUUUAAAUUUGAUUAUUUAUAAUUAUUCAUUAUUAUUAGUCUUUUUUGACAGUUCUGCAGCUGUUACCUGGAUGGGAUUAAUUUUUGGGUAUGGUUCUCCCAAAGAUGAAAAUUAUGUCAUAAUUUACCCAGGUUGUUCUAAACCUAUAUAAAGUUAUUUCUUCUGUUGGACACAAAAGAGGAUACUUUGAAUAAUGUGGGUAACUAAGCAGCUGCUGGUCCUCAGUAACUUCCACAGUAGAGAAAAAUACUAUCAGAGUCAUUGGGGAACAGAAGCUAUUUGGAUACUCACAUUCUUAAAAGUAUCUUCUUUUAUGUUCAACAGAAGAAAUAAAUGAUUACAGUUGGAACAACUUAUGGGUGUGUAAGCGAAAAAAAC
ensembl:lncRNA